GUGGUUGUGGCUCAGUAGUAGAGUGUUUGCCUUGCAUGUGUGAGGCCCUGGGUUCAAUCCUUAGCACCACA
rnacentral:tRNA from 1 species